rnacentral:lncRNA from 10 species
AUGGUGGCCAGUGCAUAAUAGGCUCUGAAAGUUUUCCAGGUGUCUGCUAGUCAGUGGAUAUUUGAGCUUCUGUUUUGUAAUCAACACUGUAGGGGAAAGGGCCACUUCACUGAAUAUAUGGAUCAGAAUGAAGACAUUGACCCCUGACACUCUCCUACUCCUCAAUUAUCUUCAGACAAAUCCCAGAUACAUUAUUGUGCCUUAGUUCAGAUCUUCCCGUUUUCAUGUAUACAUAUAUAUAGUCAUUGUGCUCCUAACUCAUGUAAUCAUAUUGAUAGUGGUUUCUUAAUAUUAUACCUUUUUAACCCAGUCUCUGUUUGGACUUUCCUCAUCAUCUCCAAGAUGUUUCUUUCAGUUGGUCUUUUCAAGUCAGUGUCCAAACAAGGUCACAAUGUUGCAUUUGAUUAUAGAGUCCUGUCUCUCAUUCUUUAACAGUGCUUACUCCCUCCUACCCCCUUUUUUUUUUUUUUUUUUGAGACAGGAUCUCACUUUGUUGCCCAGGCUGGAGUGCAGUGGUGCAGACACAGCUCAUGGCAGCCUUGACCUCCUGGGCUCAAGUGAUCCUCCUGACUCAGCCCUUCAAGUAGUUGAGACUGCAGGCAUGCACCAUCAGGCCCGGCUUUUUUUUUGUUUGUUUUUUGGCAGAUGCGGGUUUUCACCAUGUUGCCCACUCUGGUCUCAAACCCCUAGGCUCAAAUGAUCCACUCAUUUCAGCCUACCAAAGUGUUGGAAUUACAGGUGUGAGCCACCACGCCCAGCCAAUCCUCCCCUUUUUUAAUGCCAUUGAUUAGUGGGGACCGUAGGUUUUUGGUUCUGCUAUUGACUGAUUAUUUUUGGUGAACUGGUGUUAGAUCUCUAGGGGCUUGGUUACUUCCACAGUCAGCUUGUUGGGCAAGAAGACCCUGUAGGUGGUGCUGAGUCUGUGCUGUGAUAGCUGGUUGUUCUGCUUUGAACUGAUUUUGAGAUUGAUCAUUAGGCUCAGGUCUGGGUCUUCCCUUGUAAAGUUCCCUAUCAGUGCUUUGUGUAAUCAUUUUACUAUCAAUUGGUGAUUGCCCAAAUUCGUUAAGGGUUGCAAAUUAUGCUUUUCUAAUUCUCUCCCUGCUCAUACAUUAGUUGAUAAUUCUUGUAAAGAAGAAUUUUUCUUCAUCAGCAGUUGGGUGGGAAGUACCAGAUAAAUAAUCGAUUCUUUGGCGCUCCGGCGACUUCAGUGUUGAUCAGUGACUCUCUUUAGUGUCAUUAUGAACUCAGGCAUUGUCCAUCAUUCUUCAUGCUGGAGCUGCUUCAUCUUUGGCCAGUGGGUCCCCUCCUUUCAGUUUUGUUCCCUGCAGCUUUCUGUCAUGACCUAUUAAUAUCAAUACCUUCUGGCCAGGUGCAGUGGCUCACGCCUAUAAUCCUAGCACUUUGGGAGGCUGAGGCGGGCAGAUCACCUCAGGUCAGGAGUUUGAGACCAGCCUGGCCAGUAUGGCGAAACCCCAUCUCUACUAAAAAUACAAAAAAAUUAGCCAGGCGUGGCGGUGGGUGCUUGCAAUCUCAGCUACUUGGGAGGCUGAGGCAGGAGAAUCACUUGAACCCGGGAGGCAGAGGUUGCAGUGAGCCAAGAUCAUGCCAUUGCACUCCAGCCUGUGCAACAGGAGCAAAACUCUGUCUCAAAAUAAUAAAUAAAUAAAUAAAUAACUUCUUAAUUUCUAACACAGAAAGAUGCCUCAGGCUAAUCUUACAUAUUUCCUUCCACAGACCUUGAGUCAGCUGUUUCUCUCUGAACUCUGAACCUUUUGAGUAGGAAAUUGCAGUUGGAGACUCCAGUCUCCAUAGGUGCACGUCGCAACUAGGUUGUCAGAGCUUCUAGGCUUUUUCAGAAGACAGAGCUAGGAUAAUUGUACUUUUAAGAAAGGAAAAGCAGGCGGUGACUCUCACGCCUGUAAUCCUAGCACUUUGGGAGGCCGAGGUGAGCAGAUUGCAUGAGCACAGGAAUUUGAGACCAGCCUGGGCAACAUGGUCAGACCCCAUCUCUACAAAAAAUAGUGGUGGCGUGCUCACCUGUAAUCCCAGCUACUUAGAAGUCUGAGGAGAAAGGAUUGUUUGAGCCUGGGAUGUGGAGGCUUCUGUGAGCAGUGUUUGCACCACCACAGCCCAGCCUGGGUGACAGAGU